rnacentral:rRNA from 1 species
UCCGUAGGUGAACCUGCGGAGGGAUCAUUACUGAGUUUACGCUCUACAACCCUUUGUGAACAUACCUACAACUGUUGCUUCGGCGGGUAGGGUCUCCGCGACCCUCCCGGCCUCCCGCCUCCGGGCGGGUCGGCGCCCGCCGGAGGAUAACCAAACUCUGAUUUAACGACGUUUCUUCUGAGUGGUACAAGCAAAUAAUCAAAACUUUUAACAACGGAUCUCUUGGUUCUGGCAUCGAUGAAGAACGCAGCGAAAUGCGAUAAGUAAUGUGAAUUGCAGAAUUCAGUGAAUCAUCGAAUCUUUGAACGCACAUUGCGCCCGCCAGCAUUCUGGCGGGCAUGCCUGUUCGAGCGUCAUUUCAACCCUCAAGCUCUGCUUGGUGUUGGGGCCCUACAGCCGAUGUAGGCCCUCAAAGGUAGUGGCGGACCCUCCCGGAGCCUCCUUUGCGUAGUAACUUUACGUCUCGCACUGGGAUCCGGAGGGACUCUUGCCGUAAAACCCCCCAAUUUUCCAAAGGUUGACCUCGGAUCAGGUAGGAAUACCCGCUGAACUUAAGCAUAUCA